rnacentral:rRNA from 1 species
UACAGAGGGUGCGAGCGUUGUCCGGAAUCACUGGGCGUAAAGGGCGCGUAGGUGGCGUCGCAAGUCGAUGGUGAAAGCUCGGCGCUCAACGCCGAGUCGGCCCUUGAUACUGCGAGGCUGGAGCACUGUAGAGGCAGAUGGAAUUCCGGGUGUAGCGGUGGAAUGCGUAGAGAAUCCGGAAGAACACCGGUGGCGAAGGCGGUCUGCUGGGGCAGUUGCUGACACUGAGG